rnacentral:rRNA from 1 species
GAUGAACGCUGGCGGCGUGCCUAAUACAUGCAAGUAGAACGCUGAAGCUUGGUGCUUGCACCGAGCGGAAGAGUUGCGAACGGGUGAGUAACGCGUAGGUAACCUACCUCUUAGCGGGGGAUAACUAUUGGAAACGAUAGCUAAUACCGCAUAAAAGUCGACAUUGCAUGAUGUUGACUUGAAAGGUGCAACUGCAUCACUAAGAGAUGGACCUGCGUUGUAUUAGCUAGUUGGUGAGGUAACGGCUCACCAAGGCGACGAUACACAGCCGACCUGAGAGGGUGAUCGGCCACACUGGGACUGAGACACGGCCCAGACUCCUACGGGAGGCAGCAGUAGGGAAUCUUCGGCAAUGGACGGAAGUCUGACCGAGCAACGCCGCGUGAGUGAAGAAGGUUUUCGGAUCGUAAAGCUCUGUUGUAAGAGAAGAACGAGUGUGAGAGUGGAAAGUUCACACUGUGACGGUAACUUACCAGA